CCACACAAGUUCCUUCACCCUUAAACCACCCCCAAAAUUUGAGAAGGAGCAGCAAGAGGGAGAGUAGGACUCGGCAUCAAGCUGCGGAGUUUCGGCAGUCAAGAGGAGCCGAUAACUAAGGAUAUUUUGCUCGAGGGCAAAGUGAGGCCAACACGAGAGUUGUUAUUUGGAGAUAAGCGUAUCAGAUUAAGCAAUGGGGCGGAGGUGUGCUGAUCAGAGUCGAUGCUACUUAAGUAAAUAAGUGUGGAUCUCUCGACGCUUCGUGUCUUCAUACGCGACGUCGUUAUUUGGACUUUUUCCGCUGCAGCUUGUUAAGAGAGAAUAUAGUAAACUCUCAACAUCGAAACUCUGAUUCAUUUUGAUGAAAUGCUAUUUGUCAUUUAAAUCCUUGUAAUCGAAUACUUGGAUCCUAUCUUAUGAUAUUGUUUGACUUUUCAA